AUACUCUUCCUCAAAAUUCGAAGCGUCUUUCAGCGCGAGAGAGCGAGUGGGAGGACAUUGGCGUCGUCUGCGGUUUCCAAGCGAUGAGGACGGAGGCUGGAUCAAGUGAAUGUCGGAGUUUGGGCAGUCCUAAAUAUCCAUCUGGUCGAUUUCCAAAGGUCUCUAUUGGGAUCACAGUUGAGGGUUGCCUAAAGAUGGGAUCUGGAAAAACAAAAGAAGAUGGUGCUGCAUUGCCUACUUGGGAGCGAGUGUCUUCAUCUCAGGUUAAUGUUUUAGAAGAAAACAGAGUACCUGGAAUUGCAGAAGCCUCCAAAGGAAAACUUCCAGCUAAAGAUCUGAAGGCUUCUGCAUGGUUCUCUACAAGAUCUGUUUGUCAUGAAACACCAACUACGGAGACAAUGCAGAUCUUUGCAAAUAGGGCUUCAGUACUACAGUCAGAUGACGUGGUGCACAAAAAAAUUGAUACUGUUGCCUUUGGAAAAAGGAGAGAGAAAGAUGGAAAUAGUGAAAAGGUGGAAGAAGUUGCAUUUACUACUAUGGAGGAAAUGCAUGCGCCAUAUAAGGGUACUGGCAGAGAACAUCCCGAGGGAAUGAACAAGAACAGUAAUGAAACUCUGAGAAUAAAGCUGUGGGAGAUACUCGGUACUGCUUCACUGAACAAGCAAAAUAUGAACUCACUAAACCUUGGAAACAGAACAUUGGAUAUAAAUUUUAAAAGGGAAACCCAGAUGGACAAAUCAGAGAAGCUUAAGCAGAACCCCGAUAUGAUUGAGAUUGGUUCUGAAAUCCCAAUUCAAACCAUAAGAAGACCUGUUACUCGCUCCUUAGCAAAGAAGAAAGCGCCAUCAACUACAGGGAACAAGUUGCAGGGUCAGGUUAGCUCUGGAAAGAGGCCUUUGUUCUCCUCCAGUUCAGGUUCUAAACCGAAACUUGAUGGGAAGAACAUCGUUUCCUUUGAGGAAGGUGAAAGGAAAGAACAAAGCUUAGAACAGGCUGUCAGGUUUAAAGGGAAGAGAAGCAAGCAGAAGAGGACUAGAAUUGAACCUCGGAGGAAUUGUUUUCCUAGACAACUGGCUUCAGACAAGAGCGUGCAGACUGAGAGUAAAGAACAAACACUGCCAUCACCUGAUAAAGCUUCACCACAGAGCAAGGAAAAAACACAUUCCGCUUCUCUGACAGGUCACGGUCAGAAAGACAUUUUGCAAACCACCACUGAAGUUCCAGAUGUUAAUCAUCAUUCACAAACAGCAGCACCCAAACAUUUGGCCAAUCCAUUUCUAACAGGUUAUGCAGAAGCUCAUGAAUAUAAUGGUAGUUCAUUCAUGAAAAGGAAAACACGUUCGUGGGAACAUUUGAACAGGUCACCAGUGCCAAACGAUGCCUACCAGCACAAGAGUGUUGGUAGUCCAUCAGUGGCAAGGAGUAGUAAUCCCUUGGAUGACUUUCAGAGUCCAGCUUUUGCUAUGAAUGCAAGUACACAUACACCUUCACCAAGAAGUGAACAACCAAAUGAGGCUUUCUGUAGUCCUGUACCGGUUAAGAAUAGAAUGUUGGCAAGAAAAGUUUAUAGCUCUAACAGUCUGGGCAACUCCAGAAGAAAACAUUAUGGUUCAGAUGCAGAAACAGAAACUUCUGAUGGUACUAGGGAGAUUCGUGAGACAGGAACACCACAUGCUGGGGGAAAAACAGAAACCGAGAAGCAGCCGUCUGUAUCCCCAGUUGAUGACCAGGACACUGAGGGCUCUGAGGCAAACAAUUUCUUUAAAAAAGGUUGUAGACAGACUGACAAAUUGUUUUCCGAUGCGGAUAGCCCAAAGAUUUCUCAGCUCACACUUCAUCAUAGGAAAAGGGUCUGCAGCAGAAAAAUUGAAAAAUUAUGCAAAAUCAACCUAUCUUCACCAUCUCCAAUUGGCACUUACAGAACUGAAGAAACUAGUGGCUCACACGAGUCUUCAGAGCAAUACCCAGAGGACAGCUUGGCAGGGGCUGUUUGCCAACUGGCAUUGGUUUUGGAAAGGUUCAAGAGCAAAAUAAAAUCACACACAGUCAAGAAAAGCUCUGAGAUACUCUCAGCUGCUGCUGAAAAAAUACAUCUGCAGCUACAAGAUAUUGAGACUCAUAUACAGGCAGAUGUGGGGAAUCUCAUCAGCACUGGCAGUUCCCAGAGAAAGCAUAUGGAAUCUAAAUUUCAAGCCUAGGGGUGACCACGCCGGAAGGGAGUCAAGGGGACGCUGGCCGGGACGGAAAAGAAGAGCCACCUCCCUGCACUCCGGGGUACCUGCACAAAGCCUUGGCCGGAGAUUCCGGCGAAGGCGCUCCGAUAGAUAAGUCAGCCGAGCCUUUUAUGUGGAGAGGAGAGCUGUCUGAGUGCCUUUCAUGGCUUUUUGUUGCUCAAAAUAGCUUGUAGAAGCUUAAUGAUAUUUGUAAAGGCCUAUCAUUUCUUACCGAAGGUCUUUUCCUAUCUCCCUUUUAUAGGGUGAGAGUCUUGGCCGUUACCUGAAUCAAAGGCCGAGCUGUGAUCAGUUGGCCAAUAGCUGAAGAUGGCGUAUGCUGGCAGGUGUGGCAGAGCAUGGCCCUUGGUAGGUGUGGUAGGGUAUGACUCCUGGCAGGUGUAGCAGGGUAUGACCUUUGACGGGUGUGACUGGGUAUGGCCCUUGAUAGGUGUGAUCGGGUAUGGACCUAGGCAUGUCAUGAUGUGACCAGCAAGUAAUGGUUUGAAGAAUGGGGCUGGCUAGGCUGGAAUGUUCAGCCACACGUGUGGGCGUGGGCGUGCGCAUGGGUGCGGCUGCGGGUGAGAUCGAGCAGGCUCGGAGGCCAUGGCAUGUGCUUGUCGAGCUCGGGUCAGCCUCCGGCGGACUGAGGUCAGCCCAGCAUGGCUCUUGGCGGAGGCCGAGGUCUACCUGGCUCUUGGCGGAGGCCGAGGUCUGCCUGGCUCUUGGUAGGGGCCGAGGUCUGCCCCUUCGGCCUGUUCGGCUCUGAGGUUUGCUCCACCGGAAUUGGGUGACUCCAUGCCGGAAUAGGACAAUCUAUUUUGCCUCCCAUCAUUUGCCCCCCGACUUUCAAAUUCGAGUCGUCUCUUGGCUCGAGCGAAGGAAGUAGCCAAGUCGUCGAUCAGGCGUAUUCUGCUAGCAUCAUGCACCUUCAUGUGAUUGACAUGUUGGUGAACGCCGCGUCUAACUACCGGGAUCGGGCAAGGUCGUCUCGAUCAAGGGUGGAGGCUGCCGAGCGACAGAAGUAGGAGGCCGAGGUUCAGGCGGCGGCUGCCAAGCAACGACAGCAAGAGACCGAGGAGAGGGUGAAGACGACUGAAGCUCAGGUUGAGAUCGGGCUCGCCCGAAUUCUGGAGGCGGAGCUCGAGUGCAACCAAGCUCAUUCGACGCUCCGAGUCGCCGAAGGUCACAUUUUUGAGCUCGAGGCUGCACUGGCUGGCCAGAAGCACGAAGCCGAGUAGCUUGCUAAGUCGGCCGAGGAGCGGGUCCGAGAGGCUAUCGAAAAUUACCGCUAGUCCGAGGAGUAUCUGGAUGAACUGGCGGAGGGGGUGACCGAUGGCCUAAUCCGGGGCUUUGAGAACUGCCGCGAUUAAGCGAAGCGACUCUGCUCUGAGGUCGACUUCAACGGCCUUCGUCCACUUCUGGGUGGGGCCGCCGAGGCAACGAUUAUGGCUGAAGCGGGCGAACUUGCUACGUCGCACGAGCUCGUCGUCGUCGAGGACGGGGAUGCUCCUAAGACCUCUACUGUGGCCACUGCUGACGUUGGAGCUGGGGCUGCUGGCGAGGUCGGGCCCAAGACUGUGCAAGCCGCCUGAGCUUUACCCCUUGUUUUCUUUUCCUUUUCUUGUUAUUCUUGUAAAGUAAGCUACUUAGGCUUUUCACAGUUGACUAUUCUUGUAUUCGAUCAGACCUCAAGGUCGGAAUCCUUUGUACUCGGCCUUUGGCCUUUUUAUAUCAAUAAAAUGCAUUUUUCUGAUA